rnacentral:rRNA from 1 species
UCUGGUUGAUCCUGCCAGAGGCCACUGCUAUCGGAGUUCGAUUAAGCCAUGCGAGUCGAGAGGUGUAAGACCUCGGCAUACUGCUCAGUAACACGUGGAUAAUCUACCCUACGGUGGGGGAUAACCCCGGGAAACUGGGGAUAAUACCCCAUAGACUAUGGAUGCUGGAAUGCUCUGUAGCCGAAAGGUCCGCCGCCAUAGGAUGAGUCUGCGGCCGAUUAGGUUGUUGUUGGGGUAACGGCCCAACAAGCCUGUAAUCGGUACGGGUUGUGGGAGCAAGAGCCCGGAGAUGGAUUCUGAGACACGAAUCCAGGCCCUACGGGGCGCAGCAGGCGCGAAAACUUUGCAAUGCGAGAAAUCGUGACAAGGGAACUCCGAGUGCCCGUAAAUUCGGGCUGUCCAUCAGUUUAAAUAACUGGUGAAGAAAGGGCCGGGCAAGACCGGUGCCAGCCGCCGCGGUAAUACCGGCGGCUCGAGUGGUGGCCACUAUUACUGGGCUUAAAGCGUUCGUAGCUGGUCUGUUAAGUCUCUGGGGAAAUCUACCGGCUUAACCGGUAGGCGUUUCAGGGAUACUGGCAGACUAGGGACCGGGAGAGGUGAGAGGUACUCCAGGGGUAGGAGUGAAAUCCUGUAAUCCUUGGGGGACCACCUGUGGCGAAGGCGUCUCACCAGAACGGCUCCGACAGUGAGGAACGAAAGCUGGGGGAGCAAACCGGAUUAGAUACCCGGGUAGUCCCAGCUGUAAACGAUGCGCGUUAGGUGUAUCGGUGACCACGAGUCACCGAGGUGCCGAAGAGAAAUCGUGAAACGUGCCGCCUGGGAAGUACGGUCGCAAGGCUGAAACUUAAAGGAAUUGGCGGGGGAGCA